GAAAUGCGAUAAGUAAUGUGAAUUGCAGAAUUCAGUGAAUCAUCGAAUCUUUGAACGCACAUUGCGCCCCCUGGUAUUCCGGGGGGCAUGCCUGUUCGAGCGUCAUUUCACCACUCAAGCCUCGCUUGGUAUUGGGCAGCGCGGUCCGCCGCGUGCCUCAAAUCGACCGGCUGGGUCUUCUGUCCCCUAAGCGUUGUGGAAACUAUUCGCUAAAGGGUGUUCGGGAGGCUACGCCGUAAAACAACCCCAUUUCUAAGGUUGACCUCGGAUCAGGUAGGGAUACCCGCUGAACUUAAGC
rnacentral:misc_RNA from 1 species